rnacentral:rRNA from 1 species
UGGGGAAUAUUGGACAAUGGGCGCAAGCCUGAUCCAGCAAUGCCGCGUGUGUGAAGAAGGCCUUCGGGUUGUAAAGCACUUUUAUCAGGAGCGAAACGCUGUCGGCUAAUACCCGGCGGAACUGACGGUACCUGAGGAAUAAGCACCGGCUAACUUCGUGCCAGCAGCCGCGGUAAUACGAAGGGUGCAAGCGUUAAUCGAAAUUACUGGGCGUAAAGCGUGCGUAGGCGGUUUCUUAAGUCUGCUGUGAAAUCCCCGGGCUCAACCUGGGAAUGGCAGUGGAUACUGGGAGGCUAGAGUGUGUCAGAGGGUGGUGGAAUUCCCGGUGUAGCGGUGAAAUGCGUAGAGAUCGGGAGGAACAUCAGUGGCGAAGGCGGCCACCUGGGACAACACUGACGCUGAGGCACGAAAGCGUGGGGAGCAAACAGGAUUAGAUACCCUGGUAGUCCACGCCCUAAACGAUGCGAACUGGAUGUUGGUCUCAACUCGGAGAUCAGUGUCGAAGCUAACGCGUUAAGUUCGCCGCCUGGGGAGUACGGUCGCAAGACUGAAACUCAAAGGAA